AGAGGGGUGGCUGAGUGGUUGAAGGCAGCGGUCUUGAAAACCGUUAGGUGUAAUAACCUCAGGAGUUCGAAUCUCCUCCCCUUUGCCA
rnacentral:tRNA from 1 species